rnacentral:rRNA from 1 species
GAUGAACGCUGGCGGCGUGCCUAAUACAUGCAAGUCGAGCGAACAGACGAGGAGCUUGCUCCUCUGACGUUAGUGGCGGACGGGUGAGUAACACGUGGAUAACCUACCUAUAAGACUGGGAUAACUUCGGGAAACCGGAGCUAAUACCGGAUAAUAUAUUGAACCGCAUGGUUCAAUAGUGAAAGACGGUUUUGCUGUCACUUAUAGAUGGAUCCGCGCCGCAUUAGCUAGUUGGUAAGGUAACGGCUUACCAAGGCAACGAUGCGUAGCCGACCUGAAAGGGGGAUCGCCCACACUGGAAGUGAGACACGUUCCACACUCUGACGGGAGGCAGCGGUAGGGACUCUUCCGCAAGGGAGGAAAGCCGGACGGAGCAACGCCGCGGGAGGGAUGAAGGUCUUCGGAUGGUAAAACUCUGUAAUUAGGGAAGAACAAAUGUUUAAGUAACUAGGAACGUCUUGACGGUACCUAAUCAAAAAGCCCCGGCUAACUACGUG